rnacentral:lncRNA from 1 species
GGCUAAAACCAUUUGGCUGAGGAGUGGCUGCCCCAUACACACCUGUCUGCUUGGGAGAGUGGGGAUGCUGGACAGCCAAGGGGACCUCAUCAUUUCCUCUAAAUUCUCCACUUGGAACCGAACACUGGAUGGAAGGUCCAACAUCAUGAAGGCCUUGACAGUCUGCAGGUGCCGACAGAGGUCAGAAGGGAGCAUAAGGUCCUCCGUCCCCACCCUCCAACCCAGACUGGAGUUCCAGCAGUUGUAAGCCAGCUGACAUGGGUACUGGCAACUGAACUUCGUGUUCCUCUGGAAGAGCUGUAAGUACUCUUCAACACUGAGCCAUCUCUCCGGCCCUGACCUGUUUCUUACUUAUCUUGUCAGCUCAUAAACCUGUACAACGUACCUCUCAUUUACCAAAGAAAAGUUUCUUAGAUAAAAGUACGUCAAAAUAUUUUAUGAAGUCUUUUAUAUCCUUUGAAACAAUAGCUUCAAACGCGACCCAAAGGCUUAUAGUUCUAUAAAGAUACUCACACUUGACUGAGAUUCUCUCUUGAAGCUUGCUCCUGCCCUUCAGUAUAUAUAUGUACAACCAGCCGCAGAGACCUCAUGCUCACUUUUUCUUCUGAAUUAUUUGACACUGAAUAUAGGAUCUCAUGCAUGCUAGCAAGUACUCUGUAUGUAUCUAGACACUCAUGCACAUUCUUUUAAAUUUUAACAUGGACUAUCACUCACUUGCCUCAGCUGGAUUUGAGUUUGGGGUCCUUCUGCCUCAUGCUCCUCCUGAAUAUAUGGCAUUACAGGCCUGAGCUGCCAGGUCCACCCCAACUUUGUCUUAAUAAAUUCCAACUUUGAUUCAUUCGGAAGUUCUCUGUGUGCCUUAAGAGCCAGGGUAAUCCUGAAUGAGUUCUCAGGAGAGCAUCUCCAGGCUGCCAAUGAAGACUGGCCACAUUCCUGAGAACUGACUUUCUGCAAAGCCUCCCAGAGGGCCCAAAUUUAGAACACACGAAGUAAGAAAAGAUGCCUUCUCUGUUGUGCCUGCAAACAUAAGGAACACUAUACACAUUUCUGGAAAGAACAGGAAACAGUUUUCUGUCAGAGUGAAAGCUUCAGGUGCUUGUCUGGCUGCCUCCCCACAUUUUACAGUGUAAUGAAGUCUUUCAGUUCUUUGAGGCACAGCCUGAGGAUGUCAGCCCCUCAAAAGAGUGAGUAGUGGCAUGAUUUGGAGGCAUGGGACAAAUUGGUGGUCUGUGUGGAAGGAAGGCUUGCAAUGCUACCCAGCUAAGGGUACAUCCAAGAAACAGAUUAUCGUCCCAGAAAAAUCUGCAGAAGGUCCACCUAUCAUCCGCAGGCAUAUAAGCUAUAAUUUAUAUAACUUUUAAAGUCACAGAACAGUCAGUGUUCCUUAUGUUUUGCUGCAGGGACCAUUUUUUCAUACACUGACCACACACAAAAUAUAUACAUAGAUGCAUGAUUAAGUUAUAUUAAAUGAAGUGAAAGCCAGCCAUGGUGGCUCAUACCUUUAAUCCUAGAACUCAGGAGGCACGGUCAGGCAGAUCUCUGUGAGUUUAAGGUUAGCCAGGCCUAAAGAGUAAGACCCUAUCUCAAAAUUGGACAUAGUACUACCAGAAGAUCCAGCAAUACCUCUCCUGGGCAUAUACCCAGAAGAUGCUCCAACUUGUAAUAAGGACACAUGCUCCACUAUGUUCAUAGCAUCCUUAUUUAUAAUAGCCAGAAGCUGAAAAUAACCCAGAUGCCCCUCAACAGAGGAAUGGAUACAGAAAAUGUGGUAUAUUUAAACAAUGGAGUUUACUCAGCUAUUAAAAACAAUGAAUUCAUGAACUUCUCAGGCAAAUGGAUGGAACUUGAAAAUAUCCUGGGUGAGGCAAUCCAGUCACAAAAAACACACAUGGUAUGCACUCACUGAUAAGUGGAUAUUAGCCCAAAAGUUUGGAAUACCCAAGAUACAAUUCAACGACCAUAUGAAGUUCAAGAAGAGGGAAGACCAAAGUGUGAAUGCUUCAGUGCUUCUUAGAAGGGGGAACAAAAUACUCCGAGGAGGAAAUAUGGAGACAAAGUGUGGAGCAGAGACUAAAGGAAAAGCCAUCCAGAGACUGCCCCACCUGGGGAUCCAUCCCAUAUACAGUCACCAAACUCAGACACUAUUGCAGAUGCCAGGAAGUGCUUGCUGACAGGAGCCUGUUAUAGCUGUCUCCUGAGAGACUCUGAGACUCAGAGCCUGACAAAUACAGAGGCAGAUGCCUGAAGCCAACCAUUGGAUUGAGCUCCUCGGGGUUCCUGAUGGAGGUGUUGGAAAAGGGACUGAAGGGGCUGAGGAGGUUUGCAGACCCAUGGGUGGGGAGCAACGGUGUCAACAGGCCAGAGCCCCUGGAGCUCCUGGGGACUGGACCACCAACCAAAGAAUACACAUGGAGGGACCCAUGGCUCUGGCCAUGUAUGUGGCAGAGGAUGGCCUUGUUGGACAUCAGGGGAAGAGUAGUCCUUGGGCCCCACUGUAGGUGAAUGCUAGGGCAGGAAGGCAGGAGUGGUUGGUGGGGAGCACCGUCACAGAGGCAGGGGGAUGGGGAAUUGGAUAGGGGGCUUCUGGAAGGGAAACCUGGAAAGGGGAUAACAUUUGAAAUGUAAUAAAGAAAAAUCCAAUCAAUAAAUCAAUCAAUAA